AGAAGAAGAAGAAGAAGAAGAGAAGAUAAUCGAAUAUAAUAAUUAAUAAUAUUUCAAUCAAAAAAAAAAAAAAAAGGAGCCUUUUUAGGCGUGGAAACGAGAAAUUAAACAACGAGAAGAACUUGACCUUGCAUGACAUCAGAAGCUAUCGAUGCUACGAUAACUGAUUUAGAAACUAAAGGUACAUGGCGUAUUGCAGAUUAAAAAACAACAAAAAAUAAGUUUUAAUAAAACAAAUUCAAUCUCAGAAAUCACAGUGAAUUACUUAAACAACAAACCAGAUAAUUUUUAACGUAUGAGAAAGGACAAGUUAAAAAUAUGAAACUGGCGUAUGAUUUAAACCAACGAAUGCAACAUAAGAUAUGAAAUUUAACACGUUGAAUGUUGUGUCAGUCAUUGAUGAACGAAAAGUUCAGUAAAGGUUCCAUCAUUUUCUUUCUAAAUUCGCUUGUUAUUAAACGUGUUUUUAGAGAAAGACAUUUCAAUGGAUUAGAUUCUAGAACCUAACACGUUCGAAUGACAUUUAAUAAAUUAAUCGAAGGAGUUAGGAAACAAGUAUCGUUUGUGACGUAGCAAGAUAUAUAAGGGAGAAGGAAGUUUGAGGCAAGAAUUUUCUUCAGCGAAGAAGUUAACAUUCCGAGACCAGUGCGCAUGACAAGAAGAUCACUGUGGUCAUCAUAUUGCGUACCAAUCGAUGAUAUCAAUAAUUUAAACUACCUUAUCGACCAAAUAUCAGAUUGGUCAUUGCAUAUUCGUUGUUUUCCUGACGAUAAAGUGCCAUCUAAUCGACGGGAAUCAAAAUUCAACGAGUUGACGAAUUCGAUCAGGAAAGUCAACUUAUCAAAUAAAAAAUUGUACGCCAAGUUACAUCAAUGUGACGUGUUCUGUGAAAAAACGGGGACUUAGGCCGAAAUGUUUUCAUUGCUAAUAGCAUAAACGACACACAUAAAAGAAGGAGAAGUCGAAGAAAAGGCAAAGCUGUGGCCCAAGUGCAAUAUGUGAAGUAUAUUAAAACAAUAAUAAUUUUUGAUAAAGAAGCUUUUGUUUAACGCCAAGAAUAAAAGAUUUUAAAAGACGCGUACACGUAAGAAUAGUAUCGUCAAGUAUUCAUAAUUCAUUACACUUUCAAACUAAUU